rnacentral:rRNA from 1 species
GCUCAUUACAACAGCCUUGAUUUACUUGACCUUGACAACCUACUUGGAUAACUGUGGUAAUUCUAGAGCUAAUACAUGCACCAAAGCUCCGAUCCUCGCGGAGAGGAGCGCAUUUGUUCGCCACAAAACCAAGCGCCCUUCUGGGCGUCCAGUGCUGAACCAGAACAACUCAGCUGAUCGCACGGUCUUGCACCGGCGACGUGUCUUUCAAGUGUCUGCCUUAUCAACCUUCGAUGGUAGUGUACCUGACUACCAUGGUUGUGACGGGUAACGGAGGAUAAGGGUUCGACUCCGGAGAAGGGGCCUGAGAAAUGGCCACUACGUCUAAGGAUGGCAGCAGGCGCGCAAAUUACCCACUCUCAACGCGAGGAGGUAGUGACGAGAAAUAACAAGACCGUUCUCCUACGAGGCCGGUUAUUGGAAUGGGUACAAUUUAAACCCUUUAACGAGUAUCUAUGAGAGGGCAAGUCUGGUGCCAGCAGCCGCGGUAAUUCCAGCU